AACAAACGCUGGCGGCGUGCCUAAUACAUGCAAGUCGAACGGGGAAAGCUUUCGGGUGAGUACUAGUGGCGCACGGGUGAGUAACGCGUGGAUAAUCUGCCUUAGAGUGGGGGAUAACUAGUCGAAAGAUUAGCUAAUACCGCAUAAGACCACAAGAACUGCGGCUCAAGGGGUCAAAGGUUUUUCGCUCUAAGAUGAGUCCGCGUAAGAUUAGCUAGUUGGUAGGGUAACGGCCUACCAAGGCGACGAUCUUUAACUGGUCUGAGAGGAUGAUCAGUAACACUGGAACUGGGACACGGUCCAGACUCCUACGGGAGGCAGCAGUAGGGAAUAUUGCACAAUGGAGGAAACUCUGAUGCAGCGACGCCGCGUGAGUGAUGAAGGCCUUCGGGUCGUAAAGCUCUGUCGCAGGGGAAUAACACAAUGAAGGUACCCUGUAAGAAAGGAUCGGCUAACCUCGUGCCAGCAGCCGCCGUAACAC
rnacentral:rRNA from 1 species